GACGAACGCUGGCGGCGUGCUUAACACAUGCAAGUCGAACGGUGAAGCGCCUUCCUUUUUGGUGGGUGUGGAUGAGUGGCGAACGGGUGAGUAACACGUGAGUAACCUGCCCCCUUCUUCUGGAUAACCGCAUGACAGUGUGGCUAAUACGGGAUAUUCUGGGUCUGUCGCAUGAUGGGUCUGGGAAAGAUAUUGUUUCGGUGGGGGAUGGGCUCGCGGCCUAUCAGCUUGUUGGUGGGGUGAUGGCCUACCAAGGCGGUGACGGGUAGCCGGCAUGAGAGGGUGGACGGUCACACUGGGACUGAGACACGGCCAAGCCUCCUACGGGAGGCAGCAGUGGGGAAUAUUGCACAAGGGGCGCAAGCCUGAUGCAGCGACGCCGCGUGAGGGAUGGAGGCCUUCGGGUUGUGAACCUCUUUCGCCAGUGAAGCAGGCCUGCCUCGUUUGUGGGUGGGUUGACGGUAGCUGGAUAAGAAGCGCCGGCUAACUACGUG
rnacentral:rRNA from 1 species